rnacentral:rRNA from 1 species
AUAUACAUGAAUAAAAUGUAAAGUCUGGCCUGCCCACUCAUAAUUAGUUUUAAAAGGCCGCGGUAAUUUGAGCGUGCAAAGGUAGCAUAAUCAGUAGUGUUUUAACUGAAGGCUGCAAUGAAUGGUCGUACAAGAAGCUGUCUGUUUUUGUUGUAAAAAUUUCAUUUUACUUUUAAGUGAAAAGGGUUAAAUGCAUUAGGGGGACGAUAAGACCUUAUAAAACUUGACAUAAAAAGUUGAUUUUCUAAUUGUUGUGUUAAAAUAAGUCAUGCUUGUUACGUUGGGCUGACGAGAAAAUAAAAUGUAACUGUUAAWAAAUUGACAUAAUUAUUUUGAGUUAUUUAAAUAAUUCUUUUACGUAGAUUAUAAAAAACGCUACUUUAGGGAUAACAGCGUGAUUUUUUCUGAGAGUUCUUAUCGACGAAAGUAGUUGGGACCUCGGUGUUGAAUUAAGAUGUUAUUAUGGUGUAGAAGUUCUAAUUGUAGGUCUGUUCGACCUUUAAAAUCUU